ACGGGUGGUAGCAAUACCACUAGUGGCGCACGGGUGCGUAACGCGUAACCAACCUGCCCUUGACUGGGGGAUAGCCCGCCGAAAGGCGGAUUAAUACCGCAUAAACUAGCAGCCUGGCAUCAGGCAACUAGUAAAGAUUUAUUGGUCAAGGAUGGGGUUGCGUGACAUUAGCUAGUUGGCGGGGUAACGGCCCACCAAGGCGACGAUGUCUAGGGGACCUGAGAGGGUGAUCCCCCACACUGGCACUGAGAUACGGGCCAGACUCCUACGGGAGGCAGCAGUAGGGAAUAUUGGGCAAUGGGCGAGAGCCUGACCCAGCCAUGCCGCGUGCCGGAUGAAGGCCUUCUGGGUUGUAAACGGCUUUUCUCAGGGAAGAAAAAGACCAUGCGUGGUACACUGACGGUACCUGAGGAAUAAGCACCGGCUAACUCCGUGCCAGCAGCCGCGGUAAUACGGAGGGUGCAAGCGUUGUCCGGAUUUAUUGGGUUUAAAGGGUGCGUAGGCGGCCCGUUAAGUCCGGGGUGAAAGCCCACAGCUCAACUGUGGAACUGCCCUGGAUACUGGCGGGCUUGAGUCCAGACGAGGUUGGCGGAAUGGAAGGUGUAGCGGUGAAAUGCAUAGAUACCUUCCAGAACCCCGAUUGCGUAGGCAGCUGACUAGGCUGGUACUGACGCUGAGGCACGAAAGCGUGGGGAGCGAACAGG
rnacentral:rRNA from 1 species